ACCGUUUACUGAGUCGUUUCCCCUUAAACAACUUGCAUUGGCUUCGCGAUUGUUCGAUUGUGAGAUCUUAGGGGAACAUCACAGCUUGUAAACCUCAGAUUUUAGCACUCACUCAUUGAUAAAUCCUAGCACCCAAAUGUUAUUGCUGCU
rnacentral:misc_RNA from 1 species